rnacentral:rRNA from 1 species
GACGAACGCUGGCGGCGUGCUUAACACAUGCAAGUCGAACGGAAAGGCCCUGCUUUUGUUGGGUGCUCGUGUGGCGAACGGGUGUGUAUCACGUGAGUAUCCUGCCCCUGUCUUUCGGGUAACUUCACGAAACUGCGGCUAAUACCGGAUAGGAGCUUCUGCUCCAUGGUGGGCGUUGGAAAGUUUCGGCGGUUGGGGAUGUAAUCGCGGCUUAUCCGCUUGUUUGUCGGGUAGUGACUUACCAAGGCUGCGACGGGUAGCCGGCCUGAGAGGGUGACCGGCCACAAGGGGACUGAGAUACGGCGCAGACGGCAACGGGCGGCAGCAGUGGGGAAUAUUACGGAAUGGGGGGAAGCCAGAUGCAGCAACGCUGGGUGCGGGAUGACGGCCUUCGGGUUGUAAACCGCUUUGGCCGGUGACGAGGCGUGAGUGACGGUAAUGGGUAAAGAAGCACCGGCUAACUACGUG